UGGGUCGUUAGCUCAGUUGGUAGAGCAGUUGACUUUUAAUCAAUUGGUCGCAGGUUCGAAUCCUGCACGACCCACCAC
rnacentral:tRNA from 12 species